AGCGUGGUGGCUUAGUGGAUAGAGCGAGGGGGCUGGGAGUCGGAAGGACCUGGGUUCUAAUCCCAGCUCCGCCA
rnacentral:tRNA from 1 species